rnacentral:rRNA from 1 species
CCCUUAGAUGUUCUGGGCCGCACGCGUGCUACACUGAGUGGAUCAGCGGGUCAGGUUGCGCGAAAGUGUUUCCUAAUCUUUAAAUCCGCUCGUGAUGGGGAUUGACGGUUGCAAUUUUCCGUCAUGAACGAGGAAUACCUUGUAAGCGCGGGUCAUCAUCCCGCGCUGAAUACGUCCCUGCCCUUUGUACACACCGCCCGUCGCUCCUACCGAUUGAAUGUUCCGAUGAAUACCAUGGACUGAGAGUAUGAAUGGGUUCGCCUAUUUCUGCUUCUCGGGAAGUGGAGUAAAUCUUAACAUUUAGAGGAAGGAGAAGUCGUAACA